rnacentral:misc_RNA from 1 species
GUAUGCUCUGGUACUAGACACAAAUAGGGAAAAGGCAAGAGUUUGUGUUAUAUCUCCAGUAACAAAGGGGUUGGCUGCUAAGUGACUCGAAUAAGUAAUACGACCAUGACAAAGAUUAAUGUCAUGACAAAGAUCAAAAGCCACUGGACGCAUGUAGUCUUGAAACUCCGAGAAUAGACGUCCAUAGCUCUCGAAGUUGCAUGCCCUGUACUUGCCAGACUAUGCUCAACUGCUUUCUCAGUUGAAUCGAGUAUCUUUUCAGUAUUUUUGAUGGAUUGAUUCAUCAUGAGACUGCUCUCUUUGAGCUGCCGUGCCAAAACAACCAUUUCAUCAGUCAAAUCCU